rnacentral:lncRNA from 8 species
AUGUGGAGGCUAUAUACAGGGUAUUACGGUACAGAGUCAGUGUGGAGGCUAUAUACAGGGUAUUACGGUACAGAGUCAAUGUGGAGGCUAUUUACAGGGUAUUACGGUACAGAGUCAAUGUGGAGGCUAUAUACAGGGGGUACCGGUACAGAGUCAAUGUGGAGGCUAUAUACAGGGGGUACCGGUACAGAGUCAAUGUGGAGGCUAUAUACAGGGUAUUACGGUACAGAGUCAAUGUGGAGGCUAUAUACAGGGUAUUACGGUACAGAGUCAGUGUGGAGGCUAUAUACAGGGUAUUACGGUACAGAGUCAAUGUGGAGGCUAUUUACAGGGUAUUACGGUACAGAGUCAAUGUGGGGGCUAUAUACAGGGGGUACCGGUACAGAGUCAAUGUGGAGGUUAUAUACAGGGGGUACCAGUACAGAGUCAAUGUGGAGGCUAUAUACAGGGUAUUACGGUACAGAGUCAAUGUGGAGGCUAUAUACAGGGGGUACCGGUACAGAGUCAAUGUGGAGGCUAUAUACAGGGUAUUACCGGUACAGAGUCAAUGUGGAGGCUAUAUACAGGGGGUACCGGUACAGAGUCAAUGUGGAGGCUAUAUACAGGGGGUACCGGUACAGAGUCAAUGUGGAGGCUAUAUACAGGGGGUACCGGUACAGAGUCAAUGUGGAGGCUAUAUACAGGGUGUUACGGUACAGAGUCAAUGUGGAGGCUAUAUACAGGGGGUACCGGUACAGAGUCAAUGUGGAGGCUAUAUACAGGGUAUUACCGGUACAGAGUCAAUGUGGAGGCUAUAUACAGGGGGUACCGGUACAGAGUCAAUGUGGAGGCUAUAUACAGGGGGUACCGGUACAGAGUCAAUGUGGAGGCUAUAUACAGGGUAUUACGGUACAGAGUCAAUGUGGAGGCUAUAUACAGGGGGUACCGGUACAGAGUCAAUGUGGAGGCUAUAUACAGGGGGUACCGGUACAGAGUCAAUGUGGAGGUUAUAUACAGGGGUACCGGUACAGAGUCAAUGUGGAGGCUAUAUACAGGGGGUACCGGUACAGAGUCAAUGUGGAGGCUAUAUACAGGGUAUUAUGGUACAGAGUCAAUGUGGAGGCUAUAUACAGGGUAUUACGGUACAGAGUCAAUGUGGAGGCUAUAUACAGGGGGUACCGGUACAGAGUCAAUGUGGAGGCUAUAUACAGGGUAUUACGGUACAGAGUCAAUGUGGAGGCUAUAUACAGGGGGUACCGGUACAGAGUCAAUGUGGAGGCUAUAUACAGGGGGUACCGGUACAGAGUCAAUGUGGAGGCUAUAUACAGGGUAUUACGGUACAGAGUCAAUGUGGAGGCUAUAUACAGGGUAUUACGGUACAGAGUCAAUGUGGAGGCUAUAUACAGGGGGUACCGGUACAGAGUCAGUGUGCGGGGGUACAGGUUAGUCGAGGUCAUUUGUAAGGGUAAAGUGACUAUGCAUAAAUAA